AGCAGCCGCGGUAAUUCCAGCUCCAAUAGCGUAUAUUAAAGUUGUUGCAGUUAAAAAGCUCGUAGUUGAAUUUCGGGAUCAAUAUAUCGGUCGUGCCUUGGUACGUACUGGUAUCAUUGGUUUCUCCUUUCUGACGAACCAUGAUGUCAUUAAUUUGGUGUUAUGGGAAGUUAGGACUGUUACUUUGAAAAAAUUAGAGUGUUUAAAGCAGGCUUUAGCUUGAAUACAUUAGCAUGGAAUAAUGAAAUAGGACGUUCGAACCUAUUUUGUUGGUUUCUAGGAUCAACGUAAUGAUUAAUAGGGAUAGUUGGGGGCAUUAGUAUUCAAUUGUCAGAGGUGAAAUUCCUGGAUUUAUUGAAGACUAACUACUGCGAAAGCAUUUGCCGAGGAUGUUUUCAUUAAUCAAGAACGAAAGUUAGGGGAUCGAAGACGAUCAGAUACCGUCGUAGUCUUAACCAUAAACUAUGCCGACUAGGGAUCGGAUGAUGUUAAUUUUUUAAUGACUCAUUCGGCGCCUUAC
rnacentral:misc_RNA from 1 species